AUGGCGAUGGACUGGAACAUACCCAAGGUGGAGACCAUCCGGGACACAGGGCCAGAGUGGCUAUUCGCCCUGUUGGAACCCCUAGAUGAGACGGCGAGGCUGGUGGUCCUCAUGAUCAUGUGGAGAAUUCUUACAUGGCUACAUUACUUCACUAUUAUGCAUCCAACAACAUCCACAUGCCAAUAUGGAGAAGGGGAAGAUGGUGGUUUGCGAUGGCCCGCCGCGCGUGUAGCCCUGCAGGAUAGCGACGGCGCGGCCGAGCUGGGCCCCCCUAGUGCAGGCUGGGCCAAACUUAACACAGACGGCAGCGUUGUUGCAGCCACAGGAGCAGCGGGAGGAGGCAUGAUCCUUCGAGAUGAUAGAGGGGAUAUCAUAUAUAGCGCAUGCAGAGAAAUCCGCACAUGUGAGAGUGCGCUGGACGCGGAGCUCUCGGCGUGUAGAGAAGGCCUAGACCUUGCCUUACACAGGACGACGAUGCCUAUCAUUGUUGAGAUGGAUAGAGCGGAGGCUGUGGCGAUGCUCAAGGCACCCACGACAGAUAGAUCGCAGCACCGGUCUCUCGUUGAAGAGAUUAGUAGUCUAGCAGCCCUUGAGGCUAGAGAGGUUGUAUUUACGCAAUGUAGCCGUUGGCAGAACAACGCUAGUCAUGUGUUGGCUGCGUAUGGCCGUAGUAUCCCCCGUACUGCAAUCUGGUUCGCAGGAGGGCCAGACUUUCUUGUAAACUUGGUUAUGGUUGAGAUGCCUCCUUAA
rnacentral:rRNA from 1 species